rnacentral:lncRNA from 1 species
CCCAUUUAUAUACUCAAAUUUUAUUUUAAUUCAUUGUUUCCACUGCACCAUAAACUUGCAUAGUUUGAAUUCAGCACAUACUUUUAAUUUUUGAAAAACCCAAUUUACCUACCCCCGAACUCUCUUGGGUUGUCAAUCUGGAUAACAGUAGAGUACAUAGGGACUUUGGUCUAAAACCAAGCGUAUAAUUUGGGUAUUGUAUGCCAC